rnacentral:tRNA from 1 species
AUGAAUUAAGUAUAAUGUAUAUAUCAUUUACAAUGAUAAGGGCUGAUAAGAGUUCAUA